GAUGAACGCUGGCGGCGUGCCUAAUACAUGCAAGUCGAGCGAGAUGUUAGCGCAUGAACCUUCGGGGGAUUAUGCUAACGGAAAGCGGCGGACGGGUGAGUAACGCGUAGGCAACCUGCCCCUGACAGAGGGAUAGCCAUUGGAAACGAUGAUUAAAACCUCAUGACACCGUAGAAGCACAUGCUUCAUCGGUCAAAGAUUUAUCGGUCAGGGAUGGGCCUGCGUCUGAUUAACUAGUUGGUGAGGUAACGGCUCACCAAGGUGACGAUCAGUAGCCGACCUGAGAGGGUGAUCGGCCACAUUGGAACUGAGACACGGUCCAAACUUCUACGGAAGGCAGCAGUAGGGAAUCUUGCACAAUGGGCGAAAGCCUGAUGCAGCAACGCCGCGUGAAGGAUGAAGGCCUUCGGGUUGUAAACUUCUGUUCUAAGGGAAGAAACAAAUGACGGUACUUAGGAGCGAGCCCCGGCUAA
rnacentral:rRNA from 1 species